rnacentral:rRNA from 1 species
GAGAGUGUGUGCGCGCACUUGGGAUCGGUUAGGUCUAGGGAGGGGCGGGGGUGAGGAGAGGGGGCUAGGUCUAGGGAGGCCGCCUCGAGCAGCGGCAAGGGGUGCGGGAGGAGGAGAGCGGGGAGGGGAAGGGUGAGGGGUGUCGCUGCCAGCUGCCGGAGUGGCGCCGCGUUUUAGGGGGUGGUGGUACUUCGGUCGCUCCUACAAGGGCACGGCCGGCGACCACAGGGGCGGCGAUGGCGCCCGGGAGCGGCGGCGCGGCGUGCAGAGGCACGCCGCCGACGGUACCGGUAGCUGCAACGACGCGCACCACGCCACGUACCGGUUCCUCGCCGCCCACGCCUACCACCGCUUCGUCUAGGUCGCCCUCGACCGCCUGUACAACUGGGCGCUGGGGCAGUACGUCGCGCGGCAGGAGGGGCUCCGGCGGGAGCCGCGGCUGGUGAUGGAGAGGAGGGAGUGGUGGCAGCGGCUGGAGCUCGAGAGGUUGCUGGAGGUCCACACGUUCCACAUACACAGGCACAAGCCCCUGCUCUCCCCCUUCUUCCACCGGUACCGGCCCGAGUUCCUGAUCUGGUUCAUGCAGUCCUCGGUCUAACCGUUCGCCUACUUCGACGCGGAGUGCGGGCUCUAUGCCAAGUAGCUUCUGCUCAGGUACGUCGCGCCUUCGUCCUAAGAAUGAUAUGACCUGUUUGAUUUCCUCGUUUCCCUCGUCUCUCUUCCUACAAGGGCACGGCCGGCGACCACAAUGGCGGCGACGGCGCGCGGGAGCGGCGGCGCCGCGGGCAGAGGCACGCCGCCGACGGCACCGGCAGCUGCAGCGACGCGCACCACGCCACGUACCGGUUCCUCGCCGCCCACGCCUACCACCGCUUCGUCUAGGUCGCCGCCCACGCCCACUCCUGUACUAAGUUUAAGCCUUCGGAGAGCUCUUACGCACUUCUUCUCGUUACCGGUCUAGGAGCGGAAGUUGCUCCACACUCCUCCUCGGACACCGACUCUGACGUAGUCCUGUCUAUGACGUUGGGUAGUGUCGCUCAAGGAGCCGGAGACAAUGCCGGCUACGUCGUCAAUGAGUCCUGUGGUAAGUACGGAGCGAAGGUGAAGAUGUAAAAGAAAGAGAUAAGAUCAAUGAAUACACUAAAUAAGUACAUCUUAGAGAUGAAAUACGGUUAUCGACGGACAUGGUAACAAGAUGAUAGACACACUACGACUUGUUGUACGAGAAUUAGACAACGAUUUAAGACACAUGAACACUGCAUCGACUGUACAUCUUAGAGAUGAAUUAUACGGUUAUCGACUGUACAUAAUACACGGUUAUACGGUUAACAACGACGACAUAAGACACAUGAACACUACAUGAGACAUCGACUGUACACCUUAGAGAUGAAUUAUACGGUUAUCGACUGUACAUCUUAGAGAUGAAUUAUACAAGAUGGUCAUAAUACACGAAAGAUAGGACGUUACAAUAGCCCCAUGACGUUAACAACGACGACAUAAGACUAAUGAACAACACUGACCAUAACUCUCUAAAACCACCAACGAAACUCAUAUAAAUUGAACCUCAAGAGGUCAUGAGGAUCUAAACGAUGAGUUUUUUUUAAACUCAUGAAAGUGACCUUUCCUCACUUUAUGAGGAGCAUGAACGUAUCCAAAUUUUUAAUGAACGCAUCCAAAUUUUUAUGAGGACCAUGAACACUACUUUGGUUGUUCGUUGAACGAUUGGAGAAAGUCACAAGUUAGUUUAAAAGUAAGAAUUUAAAAUCACAAGUUAAAGUCUAAUAUGUCUGACCUUCACAUACAACAAGAAAAAGAAAAAACUUGAUUUGAUCUUCAUCCUUAAGUAAAAUAUCCCAAUCACAACAUUUAACACCUACGAAGGAAAAACAAUAACCGAAUAACGAACGAACUAAACCCUGUAGAUGUUGACUUUAAUAAUACUACGGUAUAAAAAAUAUAAUGAGGUACGAGUGGUUCAAUAACUCAACUUCAACAGCAACAAACGACAGUUCUAAACGAAUCGGACUUAUGUACCAAUACAAAACACAUGACAACAGGACUACAACUCGACAAGUUAAAGUGACAACAUGACGAUAGUUCUAGGACGACAUGACGACAAGUCAAAGUCAAUUUAAAGUCAUGACAACCUCAUUUAAAGUGACAAGCUACUAACAUGAGGUCACAAGUUAAAGCGACAAGUUACUAACAUGAGGUCACAAGUUAAAGGACUAACUAAUUUAAAGUUACAAGUUAAAGUCACUUUUGUCAUGUACAUGGUCGCCGUCGUCGAGGACACCAUCGCCGCCAUCGUGGACCCGUCCGCACCUUGUCGGACCCGAACCUUACCGGACUCGCGCCCGGUCCUCCUCGGGGACGUACACCCGCCGUCGUCUCGUGCGGACCCGCCUCCGUCGCGGAUGAGAUGAAAGAACCGAUGAUGUCACUACGUACGUGGCCACUUCGUGCGUGUGUACGAACGGACCGGCGUACAUAGAAGUAACGACGCUUGUAGUAGAUCUACUGUUCGAUGUUCGAGGGUCGCGCAGACUAGGUCCCACGCAAUCCCGGUUGGACAAUGCCUUCUACCGGUACGAGUACUCGGGGAGACCUAGUUUUAUCCUACCGUUUAACACUGUCGACCUCGUACAGAGUAUUCUCUCUCGUUACUUUAGGUAACAUAACAAGGCAGUUUUCUUUUCAUGUAACAUGACAAUACUAUCAUCGUCUACAAAGCAGUAAAAGAAUAACAUAUAAGGGAAGCAAGGACGAUAUAAGGACACAUUCCUUUACAUAAGGACUCUACUAAAAAAACACAAUACAUUUGAACCCUCUACACAAUACACUACACUAUACUACCAACUGAACUUAAACUGGACCUCAAAAGGAUUAAACUUACUUUAUUACAACCUACAU